GAUGAACGCUAGCGGCAGGCUUAACACAUGCAAGUCGAGGGGCAGCAUGGAGAGUAGCAAUACUCUCUGAUGGCGACCGGCGCAAGGGUGCGUAACGCGUGAGCAACUUGCCCUCAUCAGGGGAAUAAUCGCUGGAAACGGCGUCUAAUGCCCCAUGGUGAUGGAAUCAGGCAUCUGAUUUCAUCUAAAGAUCCGUCGGAUGAGGAUAGGCUCGCGUGACAUUAGCUAGACGGCGGGGUAACGGCCCACCGUGGCGACGAUGUCUAGGGGUUCUGAGAGGAAGGUCCCCCACACUGGAACUGAGACACGGUCCAG
rnacentral:rRNA from 1 species